CGGAGCUAACGCGUUAAGUCGACCGCCUGGGGAGUACGGCCGCAAGGUUAAAACUCAAAUGAAUUGACGGGGGCCCGCACAAGCGGUGGAGCAUGUGGUUUAAUUCGAUGCAACGCGAAGAACCUUACCUGGUCUUGACAUCCACGGAAGUUUUCAGAGAUGAGAAUGUGCCUUCGGGAACCGUGAGACAGGUGCUGCAUGGCUGUCGUCAGCUCGUGUUGUGAAAUGUUGGGUUAAGUCCCGCAACGAGCGCAACCCUUAUCCUUUGUUGCCAGCGGUCCGGCCGGGAACUCAAAGGAGACUGCCAGUGAUAAACUGGAGGAAGGUGGGGAUGACGUCAAGUCAUCAUGGCCCUUACGACCAGGGCUACACACGUGCUACAAUGGCGCAUACAAAGAGAAGCGACCUCGCGAGAGCAAGCGGACCUCAUAAAGUGCGUCGUAGUCCGGAUUGGAGUCUGCAACUCGACUCCAUGAAGUCGGAAUCGCUAGUAAUCGUGGAUCAGAAUGCCACGGUGAAUACGUUCCCGGGCCUUGUACACACCGCCCGUCACACCAUGGGAGUGGGUUGCAAAAGAAGUAGGUAGCUUAACCUUCGGGAGGGCGCUUACCACUUUGUGAUUCAUGACUGGGGUGAAGUCGUAACAAGGUAACCGUAGGGGAACCUGCGGUUGGAUCACCUCCUUACCUUAAAGAAGC
rnacentral:rRNA from 1 species